rnacentral:rRNA from 1 species
UACGUAGGGGGCAAGCGUUGUCCGGAAUCAUUGGCGGUAAAGCGCGUGUAGGCGGCCCGGUAAGUCCGCUGUGAAAGUCGGGGGCUCAACCCUCGAAUGCCGGUGGAUACUGUCGGGCUAGAGUGCGGAAGAGGCGAGUGGAAUUCCUGGUGUAGCGGUGAAAUGCGCAGAUAUCAGGAGGAACACCAAUUGCGAAGGCAGCUCGCUGGGACGUGACUGACGCUGAGACGCGAAAGCGUGGGGAGCAAACAGG